rnacentral:rRNA from 1 species
GAUGAACGCUGGCGGCGUGCUUAACACAUGCAAGUCGAACGGAAAGGCCCAAGCUUGCUUGGGUGCUCGAGUGGCGAACGGGUGAGUAACACGUGGGUGAUCUGCCCUGCACUUUGGGAUAAGCCUGGGAAACUGGGUCUAAUACCGGAUAGGACCAUCGUUUAGUGUCGGUGGUGGAAAGUUUUUCGGGGUGGGAUGAGCUCGCGGCCUAUCAGCUUGUUGGUGGGGUAAUGGCCUACCAAGGCGUCGACGGGUAGCCGGCCUGAGAGGGUGUACGGCCACAUUGGGACUGAGAUACGGCCCAGACGCCUACGGGAGGCAGCAGUGGGGAAUAUUGCACAAGGGGCGCAAGCCUGAUGCAGCGACGCCGCGGGGGGGAUGACGGCCUUCGGGUUGUAAACUCCUUUCGCCAAGGACGAAGCGUUUUGUGACGGUACUUGGAGAAGAAGCACCGGCUAACUACGUG